UGGGGAAUUUUCGUCAAUGGGGGAAGCCCUGAACGAGCAAUGCCGCGUGUGUGAAGAAGGUCUUCGGAUCGUAAAGCACUGUUGUAAGUGAAGAAUGCCAUAUAGAGGAAAUGCUAUGUGGGUGACGGUAGCUUACCAGAAAGCCACGGCUAACUACGUGCCAGCAGCCGCGGUAAUACGUAGGUGGCAAGCGUUAUCCGGAAUCAUUGGGCGUAAAGGGUGCGUAGGUGGCACGAUAAGUCUGAAGUAAAAGGCAAACAGCUCAACUGUUGUAUGCUUUGGAAACUGUCGAGCUAGAGUGCAGAAGAGGGCGAUGGAAUUCCAUGUGUAGCGGUAAAAAUGCGUAGAUAUAUGGAGGAACACCAGUGGCGAAGGCGGUCGCCUGGUCUGUAACUGACACUGAUGCACGAAAGCGUGGGGAGCAAAUAGGAUUAGAUACC
rnacentral:rRNA from 1 species